rnacentral:rRNA from 1 species
GACGAACGCUGGCGGCGUGCUUAACACAUGCAAGUCGAACGGAAAGGCCCUGCUUUUGUGGGGUGCUCGAGUGGCGAACGGGUGAGUAACACGUGAGUAACCUGCCCUUGACUUUGGGAUAACUUCAGGAAACUGGGGCUAAUACCGGAUAGGAGCUCCUGCUGCAUGGUGGGGGUUGGAAAGUUUCGGCGGUUGGGGAUGGACUCGCGGCUUAUCAGCUUGUUGGUGGGGUAGUGGCUUACCAAGGCUUUGACGGGUAGCCGGCCUGAGAGGGUGACCGGCCACAAUGGGCCUGAGAUACGGCCCAGACUCCUACGGGAGGCAGCAGUGGGGAAUAUUGCACAAUGGGCGGAAGCCUGAUGCAGAAACGCCGCGUGCGGGAUGACGGCCUUCGGGUUGUAAACCGCUUUCGCCUGUGACGAAGCGUGAGUGACGGUAAUGGGUAAAGAAGCACCGGCUAACUACGUG